rnacentral:rRNA from 1 species
CCUACGGGUGGCAGCAGUGAGGAAUAUUGGUCAAUGGCCGAGAGUCUGAACCAGCCAAGUCGCGUGAGGGAAGACGGCCCUACGGGUUGUAAACCUCUUUUGUCGGGGAGCAAAGCGAGUCACGUGUGACUCAUUGAGAGUACCCGAAGAAAAAGCAUCGGCUAACUCCGUCCCAGCCGCCGCGGUAAUACGGGGGAUGCGAGCGUUAUCCGGAUUUGUUGGGUUUAAAGGGUGCGCAGGGGGAGGUGCAAGUCAGCGGUCAAAUUGCGGGGCUCAACCCCGUACUGCCGUUGAAACUGCAUGCCUUGAGUGCGCGAGAAGUAUGCGGAAUGCGUGGUGUAGCGGUGAAAUGCAUAGAUAUCACGAAGAACUCCGAUUGCGAAGGCAGCAUACCGGCGCGCAACUGACGCUCAUGCACGAAAGCGUGGGUAUCGAACAGGAUUAGAUACCCCUGUAGUC